rnacentral:rRNA from 1 species
GACGAACGCUGGCGGCGUGCUUAACACAUGCAAGUCGAACGGUGAAGGUGGAGCUUGCUCCGCCGGAUCAGUGGCGAACGGGUGAGUAACACGUGGGCAACCUGCCCCUCACUUCGGGAUAGCUCCGGGAAACCGGGGCUAAUACCGGAUACGACCUCCUUGGGCAUCCUUGGAGGUGGAAAGUUUUUCGGUGAGGGAUGGGCCCGCGGCCUAUCAGCUUGUUGGUGAGGUAGUGGCUCACCAAGGCGACGACGGGUAGCCGGCCUGAGAGGGCGACCGGCCACACUGGGACUGAGACACGGCCCAGACUCCUACGGGAGGCAGCAGUGGGGAAUAUUGCGCAAUGGGCGAAGGCCUGACGCAGCAACGCCGCGUGCGGGAUGAAGGCCUUCGGGUUGUAAACCGCUUUCAGCAGGGAAGAAGCCGCAAGGUGACGGUACCUGCAGAAGAAGCACCGGCUAACUACGUGCCAGCCGCCGCUGUAA